rnacentral:rRNA from 1 species
CGGAGGGUGCAAGCGUUAUCCGGAUUCACUGGGUUUAAAGGGUGGGUAGGUGGGCAGGUAAGUCAGUGGUGAAAUCUCCGGGCUUAACCCGGAAACUGCCAUUGAUACUAUUUGUCUUGAAUACUGUGGAGGUCAGCGGAAUAUGUCAUGUAGCGGUGAAAUGCUUAGAUAUGACAUAGAACACCAAUUGCGAAGGCAGCUGGCUACACAAAUAUUGACACUGAGGCACGAAAGCGUGGGGAUCAAACAGGAUUAGAUACCCUGGUAGUCCACGCCCUAAACUAUGGAUACUCGACAUUUGCGAUAAACUGCAAGUGUCUGAGCGAAAGCAUUAAGUAUCCCACCUGGGAAGUACGAUCGCAAGAUUG